UUUAGGUUUUAUUGACAUAAAUAAAGCUCCCUUCAAAGUUUUCAUUUUUUCAAUGUCUACUUUGAAGGGAGCAUUUCACAUUGAGACCGCAAGGUCUCUUUUUUUUUAUGUCUAAAACGUCAAAAUAAAAGUUAACACAAAGAAAAAUGGCUUGGCGAAGUGAAAACGUUUGAAUCUGACGAAACAAGAAAAGAGCGUAACGAGUUUAGUAGAGCUAAAUGAGUAAGCGAGAGCCGAAGGAGAGGAAAGAAGCAAGCGAUUGUCACAAGUCAAGAAAGGUUCUUAGCGACGAUGGUAGCCAACUUACGUUCCGCUAGAGUAGAACGUUGCCAGGCAAAAAAAUGGAUGCGAUGAGCCGCAUUGAGUUUUGGAAAUGAUAAUUUAAUAAUGUGCAUUUUCGAUUGUCUAAAUCUGUAACUAGAAGUAUAAGUGAAGACAUUCAGAAGUAUUAUAGAAAGUGAACAGCAGUAAGAUAGUUUUUAAUCAUAAAUCAUCUUACUGCUGUUUUUAGGUUUUAUGUUUAAUAUCUUUUAAAUCGAAAUACAAAAAGGAAAUUAAUUAUUAUACAAUAGACAAGCUAUUGCAUAAGUAACACUAACUUUUGUCAAAGAAGUGUUACUUUAUAAUUAAUGAUUUUAUUAGAGCGUCUACAUGCGGUUUUAAAGCAUCAUCGUCUAUACCGCCAAAGCCUAAUAUAAAUUUAGGGGUUUUCUUANNNNNNNNNNNNNNNNNNNNNGUCUUCGAGUCGUUGAUUUCACACUGCCGAGAAAAGCCUCUAGAUAGAAAAUAGGUGCCCGUACCGCAAACCGACACAGGUAGUCAAGAUGAGAAUUCUAAGGUGAGCGAGCGAACUCUCGUUAAGGAACUCGGCAAAAUGACCCCGUAACUUCGGGAGAAGGGGUGCUCUUUAGGGUUAACGCCCAGAAGAGCCGCAGUGAAUAGGCCCAAGCGACUGUUUAUCAAAAACACAGGUCUCUGCUAAACCGUAAGGUGAUGUAUAGGGGCUGACGCCUGCCCGGUGCUGGAAGGUUAAGAGGAGUGGUUAGCUUCUGCGAAGCUACGAAUCGAAGCCCCAGUAAACGGCGGCCGUAACUAUAACGGUCCUAAGGUAGCGAAAUUCCUUGUCGGGUAAGUUCCGACCCGCACGAAAGGCGUAACGAUUUGGGCACUGUCUCAACGAGAGACUCGGUGAAAUCAUAGUACCUGUGAAGAUGCAGGUUACCCGCGACAGGACGGAAAGACCCCGUGGAGCUUUACUGUAGCCUGAUAUUGAAAUUCGGCACAGCUUGUACAGGAUAGGUAGGAGCCUUUGAAACGUGAGCGCUAGCUUACGUGGAGGCGCUGGUGGGAUACUACCCUAGCUGUGUUGGCUUUCUAACCCGCACCACUUAUCGUGGUGGGAGACAGUGUCAGGCGGGCAGUUUGACUGGGGCGGUCGCCUCCUAAAAGGUAACGGAGGCGCUCAAAGGUUCCCUCAGAAUGGUUGGAAAUCAUUCAUAGAGUGUAAAGGCAUAAGGGAGCUUGACUGCGAGACCUACAAGUCGAGCAGGGUCGAAAGACGGACUUAGUGAUCCGGUGGUUCCGCAUGGAAGGGCCAUCGCUCAACGGAUAAAAGCUACCCCGGGGAUAACAGGCUUAUCUCCCCCAAGAGUUCACAUCGACGGGGAGGUUUGGCACCUCGAUGUCGGCUCAUCGCAUCCUGGGGCUGUAGUCGGUCCCAAGGGUUGGGCUGUUCGCCCAUUAAAGCGGUACGCGAGCUGGGUUCAGAACGUCGUGAGACAGUUCGGUCCCUAUCCGUCGUGGGCGUAGGAAAUUUGAGAGGAGCUGUCCUUAGUACGAGAGGACCGGGAUGGACAUACCUCUGGUGUACCAGUUGUCGUGCCAACGGCAUAGCUGGGUAGCUAUGUGUGGACGGGAUAAGUGCUGAAAGCAUCUAAGCAUGAAGCCCCCCUCAAGAUGAGAUUUCCCAACUUCGGUUAUAAGAUCCCUCAAAGAUGAUGAGGUUAAUAGGUUCGAGGUGGAAGCAUGGUGACAUGUGGAGCUGACGAAUACUAAUCGAUCGAAGACUUAAUCAA
rnacentral:rRNA from 1 species